CUUGAUCGACGAUCUAUGCAUUGGCUAUUGUGGGAGAAACUUGCAUCACCGAAGUGUCAGGGAGGAAUGGGUUUUCGCGAUCUUGAGUUAUUCAACCUGGCACUACUUGGUAAGCAUGGAUGGAGAUUUAUUACUAAUCCUAACUCUUUAUGUGCCCAAGUGAUGAAGGGGCGUUAUUUUCCGGAUUGUGAUUUUAUGGAGGCUUCAGUACCACACACAUCGUCUGCUAUUUGGCGAGCGAUCAUCGCCGGAAGGGAAGCUCUCCAUGUUGGUCUCAUUAAGAGGGUGGGGGAUGGCAGCACUAUCUCGAUUUGGGAAGAUAAGUGGAUCCCGGGCCUUUCAUCUCUGUCCCCUACGGUGAUGCCGGGAGGGACGACUCUUGCCACCGUCGGUGAGCUCAUCGACCAUGACAACGGGACGUGGCGCCGGGAAUUGAUCUACAAUGUUUUCAUUCGACCGGACGCCGACGCCAUAUUGAAUAUCCCCUUGCGCCGCGGUGGGGGUGAUGAUUUUCGAGCUUGGGUUUUUGAAAGAAGCGGCAACUACUCCGUAAAAUCUGCGUACCGUGCUCUCGUGACUCGGAAAGAGCGGCUAGCUCAAGAGGAAGGGGCGGUUACAAACUCCUCACAGACCGAUGAACGGAUGUGGAAGUCGCUUUGGAAGCUCAAGGUUUUGCCGAAGGUACGUGUAUUCUGGUGGCGGGUUAUUCGUCGCAUUCUUCCAGAUGAGUGCACGCUUCGGUAUCGUCAUAUCAAACCUAUAAGCAGAUGCAAUGUCUGCCAUGCAAUGGAUGAGGAUCUCAUGCACGCCUUAGUGCAUUGC
rnacentral:rRNA from 1 species